rnacentral:rRNA from 1 species
GACGAACGCUGGCGGCGUGCCUAAUACAUGCAAGUCGAGCGAGCAGAAAUAACAGAAUACCUUCGGGUAGGAAGAUAUGGAAGCGAGCGGCGGAUGGUGAGUAACACGUAGGUAACCUGCCCCAAAGCGGGGGAUAACAACUGGAAACAGUUGCUAAUACCGCAUAAACCUCUUGGUCACAUGGCUAAGAGUUGAAAGACGGUUUCGGCUGUCACUUUGGGAUGGACCUGCGGUGCAUUAGCUAGUUGGUAAGGCAACGGCUUACCAAGGCGAUGAUGCAUAGCCGACCUGAGAGGGUAAUCGGCCACAUUGGGACUGAGACACGGCCCAACCUCCUACGGGAGGCAGCAGUAGGGAAUCUUCCACAAUGGACGAAAGUCUGAUGGAGCAACGCCGCGUGGAUGAAGAAGGUUUUCGGAUCGUAAAAUCCUGUUGUUGAAGAAGAACGUAUUUGAGAGUAACUGCCCAGAUAGUGACGGUAUUCAACCAGAAAGUCACGGCUAACUACGUGCCAGCCGCCGCAGUAAGAC